CUAGUACUCCCUCCGUCCCAAAAUUAUUGUCUUAGAUUUGUCUAGAUAUGAAUGUAUCNNNNCAAGUUUUAGUAUUUAGAUACAUCUAUUUCUAGACAAAGCUAAGACAAGAAUUUUCGGACGGAGGGAGUACUAG
rnacentral:pre_miRNA from 1 species